AGUGGACGCUGGCGGUAGGCCUAACACAUGCAAGUCGAACGGCAGCACAGUAAGAGCUUGCUCUUACGGGUGGCGAGUGGCGGACGGGUGAGGAAUACAUCGGAAUCUACUUUUUCGUGGGGGAUCACGUAGGGAAACUUACGCUAAUACCGCAUACGACCUACGGGUGAAAGCAGGGGAUCUUCGGACCUUGCGCGAUUGAAUGAGCCGAUGUCGGAUUAGCUAGUUGGCGGGGUAAAGGCCCACCAAGGCGACGAUCCGUAGCUGGUCUGAGAGGAUGAUCAGCCACACUGGAACUGAGACACGGUCCAGACUCCUACGGGAGGCAGCAGUGGGGAAUAUUGGACAAUGGGCGCAAGCCUGAUCCAGCCAUACCGCGUGGGUGAAGAAGGCCUUCGGGUUGUAAAGCCCUUUUGUUGGGAAAGAAAAGCAGCAGGUUAAUACCCCGCUGUUCUGACGGUACCCAAAGAAUAAGCACCGGCUAACUUCGUG
rnacentral:rRNA from 1 species